rnacentral:rRNA from 1 species
UACGUAGGGUGCAAGCGUUUGUCCGGAAUUAUUGGGCGUAAAGAGCUCGUAGGCGGUCUGUCGCGUCGGCUGUGAAAACCCGGGGCUCAACCCCGGGCCUGCAGUCGAUACGGGCAGACUAGAGUGCGGUAGGGGAGACUGGAAUUCCUGGUGUAGCGGUGAAAUGCGCAGAUAUCAGGAGGAACACCGGUGGCGAAGGCGGGUCUCUGGGUAGUAACUGACGCUGAGGAACGAAAGCGUGGGUAGCGAACAGG